GACAGGGGCUUGAGGUGGUCCAGACACCAGCGAGGUCGACAAGGAUCUGACAGCAGGGAGGCUGACCGAUUUAACAAGCCCUGAACAGAGGAUCACACAUUCAAGUUAAAUCUGAAAUGGAAACCAUUGUGCAGUGGGCAUCCAGUAGGAUGGAUCAUAAAACAGGAGUUGAAAAGAAAACACAGGAAGAGGAGAGAGUGAGAAGGCUCUCAUCGGACCUUCACUGUGAGAUUUUAGACCUGAGUGCAGGAGAUAAUAUCCCAGAGGAAUGCAGAAGAAAAAAGAAGAUCAAGACGACCUACCCACCCAGAGCAUCUGCAGAAAUC